UUCCACAUGGCAGCAGCACGACAAGAGAAAGCAUAACAAUGAAAUCACAUAACCUCAGUAACCAAAAUGUCCUUUCUACGCUCAUAUCUAGAGAGUACUAUCACAAGGAUAAUUUAAGAAAAAAUCUCAGGGUAUUGAAAUUGUUAAUAUGCAAGGGAAAUUAUAGGUUCAAGAAAGUAUGGGAAAAGCAUUCACAUCAACAAAUUUUUUGUGAAAGUUCCUCCAUUUUCUUGGAAAACUACACUAAGUGCUUUAGUGGAUAUGGCCUUGAUUUGCAACCUGUUCAUCGUUUCACAUUGCCCCGGCAGCCUGGUACACACAAGAUUGUUGAUGCAAUUCUUAGUUAUCCCAGACCAACAGACAUUGCCUCAGAAGAAACACAUGGUUCACAAAUGAUGGCUGUGACAUCAAACAAUAAAUUACUCAUUGUGGAUCUUGUUUCUGGUCGUUGCCUGAAGGAAGUACAAGUUCUAGGGUCAAGAUAUACUCGUCUAAAGAGUAUAAAUUGGGCAGAGCACGAAGAAAAAGUUGUUCUGUCCACAACACGUUGUCAAAAGCAAAUGGAUGAACUGGGCUCAAGAGCAGCUGUCAUGGAUACUUUGAAAAUAUUGGCUGUGUUCAACACUAUGCCACUAGAAUUUGAAUGCAUGUUUGAAGUGAAAAAACGGGUAUUUGGUUCUGAUACAGUGGAUGCUAUCAUGUCCCAAGGCCAUCUUAUAACUAUGCACCAAUCACGCCUUGUUCGAAUGUACGACUUGCAGGAUCUUCUACCUAAAGCCAAGCCGGUGAAGUUGUUUGACUCAGCAUAUAGUCCUGGAACUUUCCAUGGUCAGGCACCCACUCCUCUGCCCAUCAAUCUUGUUAUUUCAGAACUGCCUCCUUGCCUUUUUGAAGUGGCCUGUUCGGAGCACAAUGUACAGAUAGGAGGAUUUCCCUGGCAUUAUCUCAUUUCCCCUCCAGGAAGGGCUGGUACCUUUAAUGUGUACUCAGUGGACACUGGUUCCUUGGCAAAAAAUGGACAUCUGGAUUCUAACAAUGAUUGUCUUGAAAUGGACAGAGCUUCCUUUCAUGGGGAUGAAUCUGGCCGAAUUAUUCACAUUAGUGCUGAAAACGUCAGUGUGUACUACCUGAAACAUGACAGCAGCCUUAAUUGUAAUGCCUUAAUGCAAGCUUUCAUCAUCAGACUCCAGGAUCAAAAGCCCUCACUCAUGGACUUCCAGUUCUGUUUUACCACUGGACGGAAUUCACUGACAUUCUUUAACCUGUUCAUUUAAAACUUCUUUGAGCUGCUUUCUUAAAAUUCACUUCAGGACUCAGCUGUCAAACCCAAAGAAUUAUUGUGAGCAGAGGAUUAAUAGGAGAGCAAGUGCGCACCUGAAUGUAGACUGGUGGUCUACUUAAAUGGUUCAUUUAAAUCAUAUUGAGAAGGGUACCACUUAACUUUG
rnacentral:misc_RNA from 1 species